GACGAACGCUGGCGGCGUGCCUAAUACAUGCAAGUAGAACGAGUUGCGAACGGGUGAGUAACGCGUGGUAACCUGCAUCAUAGCGGGGGAUAACUAUUGGAAACGAUAGCUAAUACCGAAUAACAUAAGAUGUGCCCAGAUGGGAUUAGCUAGUUGGUUGGUGAACGGAUCACCAAGGCGACGAUCCCUAGCUGGUCUGAGAGGAUGACCAACCACACGAGAACGGAGACACGGUCCAGACUCCUACGGGAGGCAGCAGGGGGGAAUAUUGCGCAAUGGGCGCAAGCCUGAUGCAGCCAUGCGGAGUGUAUGAAGAAGGCCUGCGGGUUGGAAAGUACUUUCAGCGGGGAGGCGUUACCCGCAGAAGAAGCACCGGCUAACUCCGUGCCAGCCGCCGCGGUAAUAC
rnacentral:rRNA from 1 species